rnacentral:rRNA from 1 species
CGAACGAUGAUCCCAGCUUGCUGGGGGAUUAGUGGCGAACGGGUGAGUAACACGUGAGUAACCUGCCCUUGACUCUGGGAUAAGCCUGGGAAACUGGGUCUAAUACCGGAUAUGACUGUCUGACGCAUGUCAGGUGGUGGAAAGCUUUUGUGGUUUUGGAUGGACUCGCGGCCUAUCAGCUUGUUGGUGGGGUAAUGGCCUACCAAGGCGACGACGGGUAGCCGGCCUGAGAGGGUGACCGGCCACACUGGGACUGAGACACGGCCCAGACUCCUACGGGAGGCAGCAGUGGGGAAUAUUGCACAAUGGGCGCAAGCCUGAUGCAGCGACGCCGCGUGAGGGAUGACGGCCUUCGGGUUGUAAACCUCUUUCAGUAGGGAAGAAGCGAAAGUGACGGUACCUGCAGAAGAAGCGCCGGCUAACUACGUGCCAGCAGCCGCGGUAAUACGUAGGGCGCAAGCGUUAUCCGGAAUUAUUGGGCGUAAAGAGCUCGUAGGCGGUUUGUCGCGUCUGCUGUGAAAGACCGGGGCUCAACUCCGGUUCUGCAGUGGGUACGGGCAGACUAGAGUGCAGUAGGGGAGACUGGAAUUCCUGGUGUAGCGGUGAAAUGCGCAGAUAUCAGGAGGAACACCGAUGGCGAAGGCAGGUCUCUGGGCUGUAACUGACGCUGAGGAGCGAAAGCAUGGGGAGCGAACAGGAUUAGAUACCCUGGUAGUCCAUGCCGUAAACGUUGGGCACUAGGUGUGGGGGACAUUCCACGUUUUCCGCGCCGUAGCUAACGCAUUAAGUGCCCCGCCUGGGGAGUACGGCCGCAAGGCUAAAACUCAAGGAAUUUGACGGGGGCCCGCACAAGCGGCGGAGCAUGCGGAUUAAUUCGAUGCAACGCGAAGAACCUUACCAAGGCUUGACAUGAACCGGUAUACCUGGAAAACAGGUGCCCCGCUUGCGGUCGGUUUACAGUGGUGCA